CUAGGUCUACACAGGUCUGGCUUGGUCUACACAGGUCUGGCUAGGUCUACACAGGUCUGGAUAGGUCUACACAGGUCUGGAUAGGUCUACACAGGUCUGGAUAGGUCUACACAGGUCUGGAUAGGUCUACACAGGUCUGGAUAGGUCUACACACGCCCAUACACAGGUCUGGCUAGGUCUACACACGCCCAUACACAGGUCUGGCUAGGUCUACACAGGUCUGGAUAGGUCUACACAGGUCUGGCUAGGUCUACACAGGUCUGGAUAGGUCUACACAGGUCUGGAUAGGUCUACACAGGUCUGGCUAGGUCUACACAGGUCUGGAUAGGUCUACACAGGUCUGACUAGGUCUACACAGGUCCGGAUAGGUCUACACAGGUCCGGAUAGGUCUACACAGGUCUGGAUAGGUCUACACAGGUCUGGAUAGGUCUACACAGGUCCAUACAAGACAAAAGAACUCUGUUGCGUUACAAAAUGUCCACAGGUUUUUAUUCACCUCCUUUGCAUUGGAAUACAGUAUAUGGGAGAAACGUGUGUCUCAGUUCUGAAGACAGUGCAACACGAGACAAGAAUCACACAAAACGAAAUACUCAAUGGCCC